rnacentral:tRNA from 1 species
UUAGGUAUAGCUCAACGGUUAGAGCUGCGGGCUUUUAAUCCGAAGAUCAUGGUUCAAUUCCAUGUACCUCUA